GCCCACUUAGCUCAGAGGUUUAGAGCAUCGCAUUUGUAAUGCGAGGGUCAUCGGUUCAAAUCCGAUAGUCGGCU
rnacentral:tRNA from 1 species